rnacentral:snoRNA from 1 species
GCGUAUGAUGAACAAUCGGGUCUGCUGAUCGAUUGAGAUGAUGACCCGUUGGAGCGCUGAUG